CGAGGUUGUGAGAUGCUAGAGAGAGCGUUGAAGCUUUUGCAGUUAGAGCCAAACAAACUUAUAAUGCUGCAUCGCUUUAUAAAUGCGUGGAAGCUUAUAGUAAUGCGCUAUACGUACAAGCAGCAAUAUGUCAACUUAUGGAAAAGAAUUAUG